rnacentral:rRNA from 1 species
AAUGAACGUUGGCGGCAUGGAUUAGGCAUGCAAGUCGAGCGAGAAGUGUAGCAAUACACGGAAAGCGGCGGAAGGGAGAGUAAUACGUGGGAAUCUGCCCUUAGACCUGGGAUAGCAGCGGGAAACUGCUGGUAAUACCAGAUAAUGUCUAUGGACCAAAGGUGUGAUUCCGUCUAGCGCUGACCCCACGUCCUAUUAGCUAGUUGGUAGGGUAAUGGCCUACCAAGGCGAUGAUGGGUAGCGGGUGUGAGAGCAUGACCCGCCUCACUGGGACUGAGACACUGCCCAGACACCUACGGGUGGCUGCAGUCGAGAAUCUUCGGCAAUGGGCGCAAGCCUGACCGAGCGAUGCCGCGUGCGGGAUGAAGGCCUUCGGGUUGUAAACCGCUGUCGAGGGGGAGCAACUUCCAUAGAGUUAUCUUUAUGGAUUGAGUGAUCCCUGGAGGAAGGACGGGCUAAGUUCGUGCCAGCCGCCGCGGUAAUAC